rfam:Roseomonas sp. M3 M3_S294_L001_R1_001_(paired)_contig_159, whole genome shotgun sequence.
CGCGGGGUGGAGCAGCCCGGUAGCUCGUCAGGCUCAUAACCUGAAGGUCACAGGUUCAAAUCCUGUCCCCGCAU